rnacentral:rRNA from 1 species
UACGUAGGGGGCAAGCGUUGUCCGGAAUCAUUGGGCGUAAAGAGCGUGUAGGCGGCUCGGUAAGUCCGCUGUAAAAAGUCCAGGGCUCAACCCUGGAAAGCCGGUGGAAAACUGUCGAGCUAGAGUCCGGAAGAGGCGAGUGGAAUUCCUGGUGUAGCGGUGAAAAUGCGCAGAUAUCAGGAGGAACACCAAUGGCGAAAGGCAGCUCGCUGGGGACGGUACUGACGCUGAGACGCGAAAACUGGGGGAGCAAACAGG